AACGAACGCUGGCGGCAUGCCUAACACAUGCAAGUCGAACGAGACCUUCGGGUCUAGUGGCGCACGGGUGCGUAACGCGUGGGAACCUGCCCUUAGGUUCGGAAUAACUCCCCGAAAGGGGUGCUAAUACCGGAUAAUCUCUUCGGACCAAAGAUUUAUCGCCUUUGGAUGGGCCCGCGUUGGAUUAGCUAGUUGGUAGGGUAAAAGCCUACCAAGGCGACGAUCCAUAGCUGGUCUGAGAGGAUGAUCAGCCGCACUGGGACUGAGACACGGCCCAGACUCGUACGGGAGGCAGCAGUGGGGAAUAUUGGACAAUGGGCGAAAGCCUGAUCCAGCAAUGCCGCGUGAGUGAUGAAGGCCUUAGGGUUGUAAAGCUCUUUUACCCGGGAUGAUAAUGACAGUACCGGGAGAAUAAGCUCCGGCUAACUACGUG
rnacentral:rRNA from 1 species